GCUACGUAGCUCAGUUGGUUAGAGCACAUCACUCAUAAUGAUGGGGUCACAGGUUCGAAUCCCGUCGUAGC
rnacentral:tRNA from 7 species